rnacentral:SRP_RNA from 1 species
GCCGGGUGUGGUGGCGGGCACCUGUAAUCCCAGCUACUCAGGAGGCUGAGGCAGGAGAAUUGCUUGAACCCAGGAGGCAGAGGUUGCAGUGAGCUGAGAUCACACCACUGCACUCCAGCCUGGGUGACAGAGCAAGACUCUGUCUCAA